AUGUCUAGCUCGUCUACAAAGCGGAGAAGUGGAGGAUCUGAAAAGGGCGAGGAGGAUGUGAUAAUCUAUUUGCUAGAGCAUAUGGGUUUGGGGGAAAGUGAGUUCCAUAAUGUGGCCUUUGAGGAUGAAAUCAACGUCAUGCGAGAGGAGAUGAAGUGGAUGACGGUAGCAAAAAUUCAUAUGCAAAAUCAAUUCACAUAUCAAGCCUUCAUUGCCAAUAUGAGCACUGUUUGGAGCCCAGUAAAGGAUAACAUGAUAAGGGCGGUGCAACAUAAUCUUUUUACUACUCAAUGCUUCUGUUUUGGUGAAAGGAUGAAGGUCACGGGUGGAGGACAAUGGUUAUUUACGCAAUUUCCGAGUGAUGGUCAAGCCUUAUGA
rnacentral:rRNA from 1 species